AUUAUUUAAUUCAUAUAAAGAUACCAUCUUGAACACAUGUCUAUUCUGUUUAAAUUUUCAGUUGUGUAAAUAAAAAGUUCAGUAUGAAAAUACCGAUGUUAAUAAUAUUUAUUUGUGCGUUAUUGGAAUUUGGUGCCCUCUCUCAAACAUCGAAUACGAUGAAAGAAACAAAGACAUUUUCACGUUCAACAAGGAGCGUUGAUCACUUGCCGGGUAGCACGAACUACGGCCGCACGACCACUAGUGGCAGGCGCGGUGUCGAGGAGUGCCUCGCCGCUGGGAACCCACCUGGACGCUGCUACUCGGAGCAAAGUGGAAUAAACCCUAAUUGGCCAUAGAAUUAAGAUAAAGUUGUAAUAUUUAACUUGACGCCUUUUUGAUCAUGUAUACCAUUGUACCCUAAGGCUGUCUUGAUAAAACCGCUUUAAGUGAUAAGACAGCCAUUUUUGUUGGUAAAUAAUUAUGUGUUAGUAUAUAAGUUAAGUAAGUUUUGUUAAUGUGUGUGUGUGAACAAAUAAAGAAUGUCCUAUCUA